GUGCUCGCUGCGGCAGCACGUAUACAACUGGAACGAGACAGAGAAGAUUGCCACGGCCCUGCGCGAGGGUGACACGCAGAUUCGCGACGCGAUCCAUAGUUUU
rnacentral:snRNA from 1 species